GUGGGGAAUCUUCCGCAAUGGACGAAAGUCUGACGGAGCAACGCCGCGUGAGUGAUGAAGGUCUUCGGAUUGUAAAGCUCUGUUAAUCGGGACGAAAGAGCCUAGUGUGAAUAAUGCUAGGAAGUGACGGUACCGGAAUAGAAAGCCACGGCUAACUACGUGCCAGCAGCCGCGGUAAUACGUAGGUGGCAAGCGUUGUCCGGAAUUAUUGGGCGUAAAGCGCGCGCAGGCGGAUCUGCCAGUCUGUCUUAAAAGUUCGGGGCUUAACCCCGUGAUGGGAUGGAAACUACAGAUCUAGAGUAUCGGAUAGGAAAGUGGAAUUCCUAGUGUAGCGGUGAAAUGCGUAGAUAUUAGGAAGAACACCAGUGGCGAAGGCGACUUUCUGGACGAAAACUGACGCUGAGGCGCGAAAGCCAGGGGAGCGAACGGGAUUAGAAACCCUGGUAGUCC
rnacentral:rRNA from 1 species